GGCUGAUCAAGCUGCAAAACAAGCUGCAAGAGAACUACAGGAAGUGGACAGAGGUGUGUCCGGAAACGAAGAAACUCCCACAUUUACCUUGCAGACACUUCCAACUGAUCUAAAAAUCCUAUGGGAACAACAGGCUGCAGUUGCUCCUGAAGAAAUACAAAGAUGGAAACAGAAAGGGGCAGUUCUGAAGGAUGGAGUGUACACCAACAACCUCAAGUUCUGCCUCCCUAAGAAUUUGUACCCAGCAGUCGUACAAUGGGCACACGGACCUGCACAUUUAUCAAAGGAUCUAAUGAAUGCUCUUGUACAAAAAUACUACCUCACUGUCCCCAUAUGAGAUUCUAUUUGGGACUGCACCUAGGCUAGGUUGCUAUUUUCCCCAACAACUACAACUUCAAACUGAUGUUUUAGUAGAUUAUGUAACUGAACUUGCAAAUGCUUUAAACAAAAUCCAUGCCCAAGUUUUCUCUUCAAUUCCAGAUCCUGAUUCUGAUACGGGCAACCACAGUCUGCUUCCUGGUGAUUGG